rnacentral:lncRNA from 1 species
CUUCUCUUACACGGCAGGGUAGACUUUUCUCUCCUCCCACAAAAGAAGGAGAAGAAGGGUAUUGAUAAUAUUACAAGUAGAGCAAUACUAAAGAUCUACAUAAAUUUCUUACACCCAAUUUCUUGCUAGGUUCGUAUAUCUCAUUCCUCUGACUCAUUUCUCUAAUUCCCAUCUUUGGGUUUUUAAUAUAAUUAGUUUAUGAGCAAAGUAUAUGAAAUGGGUAUAUGUGUUUUUUUCAAACAAUUGUUUUGCUGCUGUUAAGCUUUUUUAACUGUGGGAAAAAAGGUACUAAUGUCUUGUUAAUGAAGCCAUUAUUAUGUGGCUUGGUGAGUUUCAGUUUUUAUGAUCUGGUACUGGUCUUUAAUACAGUGGCCUUCAAUUGAAUUGUGUGUGUGUGUGUGCGCGUUUAGCUCUACAAGCAAUUUUGAUCCUUGUAGAUUACUAAGCUUGAAUUUUCCUUCGACAAGCUCCAUAACUAGCUGCUACUAUUAAUUUUUUUGGGUUUAAUUAAGAGUUUAUGAUAAUCUGCAUAUAUCAUUGUUUUGCUUUGUUGAAAGUUGGUUUUGUAUCUUCUUUCUUCUUUAGUGCGAAAAAUCAGAGUGGCUUAUGCUGGUAUAGAUGUGAGCUAUAAACCAUCUAUACUAUAGUAGUAUUAUAUAUUAAUCCUUGCUUUUUUUGUUUCCUUUUCAGCUUUAUUAGUUACCUGGUAUCCUAGUAUAAUCAGGACCUUCACUUAACUAAAAUGAUCUCUGGUGUUGUAUAUUAUUGUUUUAGAACGGUAUUAACAACGGACUUUUCGAAAAAAUUGGAGCAGCUGAUAUUUUUAGGACUAAAAUCUAUUUGACAAAUUGGGCUUUUCUUUAAUCCGUUAUAUCUUUCUGGUUAAAAUCUUACAAAAUGACUUCAGUUUAUGGGUUUAAUUGAUUGUAAGAAUUGACAUGUUAUUGGUUCAUAUUUAUCAGAUAAAAUAACAGGAAGUUAUGUUCAAACUUGCAGGAUGAAUUUACAUAUUUUUCAUUUUGUGUCUCUGCUGUCCCUUUUAGCUAAAGAGUGACCAUGUUGGUAACUACUAUGUAGUUCCUCUGCACUCUCAAGAAUCUCCUACUUGCUAGAACUAUUUAUGCCCCGUUAAUAUCUUGAAGACAAGAGGGGUUGCUCUAAUGGUAAGCAACCCCCACUUCCAACCGAGAGGUUGUGAGAUCGAGUCUCCCCAAGAGCAAGGUGGGAAGUUCUUGGAGGGAAGGAUGCCGGGGGUCUAUUUGGAAAUAGGCUCUCUACCCAAAGGUAUGGGUGAUGUCUGCGUACACACUACCCUCCCCAGACCCCACUAAGUGGGAUUAUACUGGGUUUAUAGUCCUACAAAGUGGGGUCUGAGGAGGGUAAUAUGUAGACGAGCUUUACCCCUACCCGAAAGGGCAGAGAGGCUGUCUUCACUCGACUCUCAGCUCAGUGAAGGAAAGGAAAAACAAAAACAAAAACAAAAGAGCAUUAGUAACUCCAGCANNNN